rnacentral:lncRNA from 1 species
AGGUCAACAAUCGAAUUAUGAGUUGAGUCUGAAGCUGAUGCGCAUGGUUGAUCUUUCAAGUAAUAAUUUGACAGGAACAAUGUCUCCACAACUGUUCAGCCUCUCUCAGUUGCAUUUCUUGAACCUAUCCCAUAACAGGCUAACAGGAACCAUACCAAAAGAGGUUGGAAACAUGAGACAACUGGAGUCUCUUGAUUUAUCCAAAAAUGAACUCACGGGAGGGAUUCCUGAGAGCCUGUCUAGUUUGUCUUUCCUCAAUAACUUGAACCUGUCAUUCAAUAACUUGAGCGGCCAAAUCCCAUCAGGGACCCAACUUCAGAGCUUCAGUGAGCUUAGCUAUAUUGGAAAUGCUGAUCUUUGUGGACCUCCCCUUCCCAAAAACUGCUCAAAUCAUGAUGAUGGCACAAAGACUUCGGGUGAGAAUGAUGAUGAUGAUGAUGAUGAUGAUGAAUCUGAGUUUCGGAACUGCCUCUAUAUGGGCUUAGGAGUUGGCUUUGCUGUAGGCUUUUGGGGAGUUUGUGGUGCCAUUUUCUUCAGUCGCAAGUGCAGACAUGCUUACUUCAGAUUUCUGUAUGACUUGAGAGACCGAUUUUAUGUCCUGCUGCUCACAAAUCUCAACUCCUUUCACUGAUAUCCAAUUCUCUGCAGGUAACCUCUUAACUAUGGCAUAACUAUAUAUACUUUGUAUUUUAGUAUUUUCUUACCAUCUAACAUACAUAUUUAAAAGGUAAAAUGUUUUGAGUUUUAUUUUCUGUUAUAUAUGGACAUGCACCCUUUCGAAUCAAUUAUAUUUAUUUCUUGGAUUAACUUCCACAAAUGACUUGAAUGGGUAGAGAUUUAAAAAAAAAAAUUCUUAUCUUUGCAGGUUUUUUUGAAGAACAUAAUACAUAAAAUCUCAUCAGCUGCACCUGCCAUAAAGAUCCAGCAGAUACUUCAUGCAGUGUAUUGCGCUUACAGUAUCACUAGCUAAUCAUUGAAUCCCAAUGUCACUUUUAUAUUCUAAAAUAAAGCUUAGAUAUAGUUUCUUGGUUUUGAUGCAGAAUAUUAUUUCUCUAAUCAUUUGUGUAAUGUUACUUACUGGUAUGUGAUGCAUUAAUUAUAUAUAUAGUAGGUCACAAGGAUUUGUUUCUAGUGUGAUGGUUCUACAUAGAUAUUCCAAGUGAUGAUUGUUUUCUUAUUAAUAGUUUGUGCUUUGCUAUAAGCUACUGCUUUGUGUGUACAAGAUAAUAAGUUAACAACUAAGAAGGAAAUAGUAUCUCUUAAUUUCACACCAGCUAAAUGACAGGAAAUGAAGAGUUAAUAUUGUUUGAAUGUAUGUAUAAUAAUUUAUAUUUAUUUGUUUAUUUUUAUUAGGAUAAAAGUGAGACCCACUUUAAUACAUCUAAGAAUUUUCUUAUCACAAAAUGUGUUACAUAUAUAUAAUGCUAGAGGCCUAGAAUUAAAGAGUGCUUUGCUUUACAUUUUUUGGGAAUGCAUCUCAUUUUAUUACUUGCAGUGUACAAAAUAAUGGGUGAUUUACUCUCUGUUGUUUUAAACUACUUUUGAUCAAGUCACCAAAAAAAAGACUACUUUUGGACGGGCCUAACUAUUUAAUGAAGAAGCUUUCUGUAAAAGUCCAAUACAACAAGAGCCCAACAUGAGAAUACUAUCUCCUUUACUUUACAGUUUACACCUAUCAUCCUGUGCUGAGUAACAAAGAAGUUAUCAUCCAUAAUGAAUGGUGCUCACUAGAGGAAGAAACUUUCCACAGCUGAUGGAGGAAUACACAAGUCAGUCAAGUGUCCCUAAAAUUCCACAUCUAUAAUGACUUUCCAACCACAAGAGUAAGAGAUAUGAUUCAGUUGGUCUUGCAUGAAUGGCACCUAUCGUAAUCGUACUCUUGCUAUAUAUACAUAGCUUAACAAAGAAGCGAGAUAUGAACCCUAAUUAUAAUUCAGGUUUGCUUUCUUUAAUUAAUCAAUGGAUAGCAAUAAUAUACUUUGGAAGAAGCAAUAUGUGUUUGCAAUGAUGUUGAGCACAUUAUGCAUGAUAUCCAGUUGUUGCGACGUGAGAGAUAAAGAAAUCCUGUUGAAGUUCAAAGAAGGAGUCACUGACCCAUCGGGACUCCUAUCUUCAUGGAAGCAGGAGCAGGAUUGCUGCCAGUGGAAGGGAGUCAGAUGCCACAACAUCACUGCCAGAGUCAUAAAUCUCACUCUCUCGUGUGAUUAUUAUGAUCCUGUAGAACUUGUAGAACAUGAUGAUUAUUAUUUGCAGAAAUGCCUUACAGGUGACAUCAAUCUCUCUCUAUUGGAUAUGGAAUACUUACAAUCUUUGGAUUUGAGUUUCAAUGACUUUACAACUAUCUCAUCUGAUUCCACUCUCAACUCUUCAACUCUCAAUUACAUUGAUCUAUCAUACAACAGAUACCUUUCUAUCAAGAGUCUUGAGUGGCUCUCUCGCAUUCCCUCCUUGGAAUACAUAGACCUCAGUAACAUUGAUCUUCACAUGCAAACUAACUGGCUUCACUUUGUGACGGUGCUUCCAUCAUUGGUGGAGCUCCACUUAGAGGGCUGUAACCUUGAAAGCAUAAGUCCAUCUCUAGGCUAUGCUAAUUUUAGCGCAUCACUCCAGGUUAUUGUUCUUUCCGGUAAUUCUUUUCACUCGGAGUUGCCUAAAUGGAUAUUCAAUCUUAGUUCUCAGGUCCAUCAGAUUGACCUUUCAAGUAAUCAUUUUAUGGGUCAGCUACCAAAUACGUUGCCAAAUCUUCAUUCUUUGAUUAGCCUUCAAUUGCAUGAUAAUUACUUAAAUGGCUCAAUUCCAGAUUGGAUAGGCCAACUUCACUAUCUCACCACAUUUGAAAUUGAUAACAACCAUUUUUCUGGAUUUUUUCCUACAAAUUUGGGAAAUUUGUCAUCCCUAGACACCUUGGCGGCAUUCGGAAAUCUCUUCACAGGGGUUGUGUCUGAAAGAAAUUUUGCAAAACUGAAAAAUUUGAAAUUCUUGUCUUUGGAAUCACCAUACAUCACCUUUGAUUUUGAUCCCCUCUGGAUACCACCUUUCCAACUUGACAAGCUGUACAUUGGACCACUGCACCCUACACUUCCUCAAUGGUUAUAUACACAGACAUCUCUCUAUUCUCUCAUCAUUGAAAACUCAGAGUUCUUGCUUGAAGCUGCUGACAAUAACAAGAAGUUUUGGAGAUUUACAUCCACAAUUCAGCAUCUAGAUUUCUACAACACCACAAUAGAAGGGGACUUGUCAGAAGUGGUGCUGAAUUCCAGCAUCAUAGAGCUGACAUCAAAUAAUUUCAAAGGUGGUCUACCUCGACUUUCAUCCAAUGUUGUUUUCUUCCAACUAUACAACAGUUCUCUAUCAGGGUCCAUCUCUCAUCUUUUGUGCCACAGCAAGAAAAGCAACAAGAAAUUGCAGUACUUGGACAUCUCUGAUAAUAAUUUAUCUGGAGGGCUAACAGACUGUUGGAUGAAUUGGAAGUCGCUGGUUUAUGUUAAUCUGGGAGGCAACAAUCUUAGUGGCAGCAUACCCCCUUCAAUGGCUUUAUUGUCGAAUCUCACAUCACUGCAUCUGCAUGAAAAUAAUUUGUCUGGGGACAUAUCUUCUUCAUCACUUCAGUAUUGCCGCUCCCUGUCCAUUCUUAAUGUCCGCCAGAAUAGCUUCUCUGGAAACAUACCAAAGUGGAUGCCGCAGAGUAUAAGGAUUCUCCAGUUAAGGUCCAACCAAUUCAUUGGUAACAUUCCCACACAGAUAUGUCAAAUGCCUUUCCUCAUUGUUUUGGAUAUUGCAUAUAACAAAAUCUCAGGACAUAUACCCAAAUGUCUAAACAACAUCACAUCCUUUGUUAACAUGCAUUAUUCAACCAGUUGGAUUUUCUAUGAAUUCUUUGAUGGAAAGGCUUUCUUUAUAUACAUUGACGACCUUAUAUUGCUUGUAAAAGGUCAACAAUCGAAUUAUUAUAAAAACCUGAAGCUGAUGCGCAUGGUUGAUCUUUCAAGUAAUAAUCUGACAGGAACAAUGUCUCCACAACUGUUCAGCCUCCCUCAGUUGCAUUUCUUGAACCUAUCCCAUAACAGGCUAACAGGAACCAUACCAAAAGAGAUUGGAAACAUGACACAACUGGAGUCUCUUGAUUUAUCCAAAAAUGAACUCACGGGACAGAUUCCUGAGAGUAUAUCCAGUUUGUCUUUCCUCGAUAACUUGAACCUGUCAUUCAAUAACUUGAGCGGCCAAAUCCCAUCAGGGACCCAACUUCAGAGCUUCAGUGAGCUUAGCUAUAUUGGGAAUGCUGAUCUUUGUGGACCUCCCCUUCCCAAAAACUGCUCAAAUCAUGGCAAUGACACAAAAGCUUUGGGUGAGAAUGAUGAUGAUGGUGAUGAAUCAGAUUUUCUGAGCAGCCUCUAUGUGGGCUUAGGAGUUGGCUUUGCUGUAGGCUUUUGGGGAGUUUGUGGUGCCAUUUUCUUCAGUUGCAAGUGCAGACAUGCUGCUUACUUCAGAUUUCUGUAUGACUUGAGAGACCGAUUUUAUGUCCUGCUGCUCACAAAUCUCAACUCCUUUCACUGAUAUCCAAUUCUCUGCAGGUAACCUCUUAAUUACGGCAUAACUAAAUAUAUACUCUCUAUUUUAUUAUUUUUGUUACCAUCUAACAUACAUAUUUAAAAGGUCAAAUGUUUUGAGUUUUAUUUUCUGUUAUAUAUGGACGUGCACUCUUAGGAACCAAUAUAUUUAUUUCUUGGAUAAAGUUGCACAAAUGAGUUGAAUGGGUAGAGAUUAGAAACAAAGAAGUUUAAUUUCUUAUCUUUGCAGGUUCUUUUGAGAAAACAUAAUACAUCAAGAUCUCAUCAGCUGCACUUACCAAAAAGAUCCAGGAGACUUGUGCUAUUUUAGCAUGUAUCAAGUGUAUUGUCAGUAUCACUAGUUUAUUAAUGUAUCCCAAUGUCACUUUUAUAUCAUAAGGAGAAAGUAGCGUAGAUAUAGUUUCUUAGUUUGGAUGUGAUGCAUUAAUAACUAGGAUUUAUUUCUAGUGUGCUUGUUCUACAUAGAGUCAUAGACAUGCCAAGUGAAGAUGUUUUCUUACAAAUAGUUUGUGCUUUGCCAUAAGCUACUACUGUGUGUACUAGAUAAUAACUAAUAAGGAAAUAAAGGGUUAAUAUUGUUUGAAUGUAUGUAUAAUAAAUUAUUAAUUCAGUAAAAGUGCUGCAAACUACUCCUUAAUAAAUUUUCAUGGUUCAAUAUUCAUCUUUUCGUUUUUUCUUUUGGUUUUACACAACACAUACUCACACACAUUACUAUAAGUUUUAUAUUCCACUUCUUGAAUUUAAGUGUUUAACCGGCUAAUUUUUUUUUAUAUUGUUUAAAUAUAUGUGUAAUACAUUGCUAUUGGAAGAUUAGGUGUUUUUUUUAUAUGGUGUUUUACUCAAAUCGGACGGUCCGAUUUGUUUGAAGAAAAAAGUAAACUACAAAUCGGAGAGUCCGAUUUGUUUGAAAAAAAAAAGCACUACAAAUUGCAUGGUCCGUUUUGUAUUUUUUAUUUUUUUAUUUUUUAAAAUAAAAAUCGGACGGUCCGAUUUUAACAUUAAAAAUUUUUUUAUUUUCGAAAUCACAAAUAGGACGGUCCGAUUUGUGAUUGUUUGGGAAAAAAAUAAAACAAAUCUGAGGUACCGAUUUGUAGCUCCUAUAGCAAAGUUAAACACUUCUCUUCUCACAUCAUUGGGAAAUACACUCUUCUCUCUCACACGAAAAACAAAAAGUGGUGUUUAACCUAGGAUUCGAACUGUGCAGCUUUUUUAGCCGCCAACAAAUUCUCAACUAUGCCAUUACCUCAGCUUUUUUAACCACAUCAACUGUCACAACACAUUCUGGCGAUUUAAAAUUAUAUGUAAAUCUAGAUCUAGAACAUGUUUGAUAAGCUAUAAGUUACGAUGCAAUUAGUCAUUGAUUACUCAUGCAGAGAAGCUCUUUAACUUGCUAAAUAAAACACCGGUAGCUUAAUAGUAUUUUUCAGACAGUUUUUUAAAAGUUCAAUAACGAUUCAACUAUCUCAUCUAAUUCCACUGUGAACUCUUCAACUCUCAAUUACAUGGAUCUAUCAGUCAACUUAAACCUUUUUAUUCACAGCCUUGAGUGGCUCUCUCGCAUUUCCUCCUUGGAAUAUAUAAACCUUGGUUACACUAAUCUUUACAUGGAAACUAACUGGCUUCAUUGGAUGACGGCGCUCCCAUCAUUGGUGGAGCUGUACUUAUACAGCUGUAAACUUGAAGACAUAAGUCCAUCUCUUGUAUAUGCUAAUUUUAGCACAUCACUCCAGCUUAUUUCUCUUCCAAGUAAUUCUUUUCACUCAGAGUUGCAAUACUGAAAAAUUUGAAAUUCUUGUCUUUGGGAUCACCAAUCAUCACCUUUGAUUUUGAUCUCCAAUGGAUACCACCUUUCCAACUUGAGAAGCUGUCCCUUGGACGACUGCACCCUACACUUCCUCAAUGGAUAUAUACACAGACAUCUCUCUAUUUUCUCAUCAUUGAAAACUCAGAGUUCUUGCUUGAAGCUGCUGACAAUAACAACAACUUUUGGAGAUUUACAUCCACAAUUCAGCAUCUAGAUUUGUACAACAACACAAUAGAAGGGGACUUGUCAGAAGUGUUGCUGAACUCCAGCAUCAUAGAGCUGGCAUCAAAUAAAAUAGAGGAGUGCUAGGGGCCAGCAGAAUUUGUGAUGUUUAGCCAUCAAUUAGCCAUCAUCAAUAUUUUUAAUGGUAUGAGAUGAUAACCAAUGAUGUAGGAUUAAUCAUUUUUCUUUUGAUGGUUAAGUGCUGGCCAGAUUUUAACAAAAGUGCUGGUCCCUAGACUUUCUCAAUAAAAUAAAAUUUGAUCAUCUAAUAUUUAGUAAAAAUUUAUAAAAGUAAAAAAAAAUUAUAUGCUUCGACAUUUAAAACAAAAAUUUAAAAUAAUUAUUAUUUUAAGAAAUUUAUAAAAUUAUUAUUAAAAUCAAAGUUUAACUUAAAAAAAUGAGUAAUAAUUAUUUUAUAUUUUUUAAAGUAAAAUAAUUAUACACUGAUACAUAAUUUAAAAUAAAAUUAAAAUAUUUACAUUAGAAUACUAUUUUUUCAAAUACUUUUCUAUAAACAACAUUGAUGAUUGAAUUUGCAGAUAUUUCUACGUGAUUCAUAAGUAAAACUUUUAAACCUCUCUUACUCUUAACUCUUGAAAGUGGUACAUAUAGUUGGCCAUGUGUAAAAACUGGUUUGGACAAGUACAAUCCAACAUGAGAUAAAGUUUGUCCCUGAGACUUAUCAAUUGUCAUGGCAAAUGAUACUAUUAUGGAAACUGUCUUCGUUGGAAUCUAACUGGGACGGUUUCAUUUAUUGGUACCAUAUUCAUUCUUGGAAAAUCAAAGCAAUAUGACCAACAUUGUUACCCGUUAAGACUUCACAUUCUAUGACAUGAUUUUCAAGCUUCCUAAUUUGUAGCCUUGUACCAUUACAAAGACCACUGGAUUGGUCAAUAUUCCUCAGUAACAUCACUGGAACACCAACCUUGAGUAUUAAUUUAUGUGAAGGCAAACCAAAGCAAUUUAUGCUAUUCAGUAAUUAAGGACCAUAGAGAUCUAGUUGACUCUCCAUAUCCCUUCAUCCAUACAAAUGGAAUCCGAACUAAGAUAUAAUUUUUUUCCUCCAGGAAUGAUAGCCAUAAGAUGGUUGUUAACCUCUUCAACGAUGUCUAGUGUGGAAGCCAGUAUAGUUCUUGCUUUUAAAAGAAUGUAAUUUACAUUCUUUUGUAAAUUACAUCCACAACGUUACCCUUAAUUUCUGUCCACCCCUAUAAGAAAUAGCAAUGCUUGUAGAGUAAAGAGAGGCACAAAAUUUCAAAAUAAGAUUUUAAAACAAAAGCCACUAUCAAAAAGAUAUUAAGUAUUAUUCAAGAUCAUCAAGUUCUAUGGUGAUAUAACUUGAUGGCUUUCCAUCCCAUGUGAACUCGACCAAAUUAACCCUAGAGGCAAGCUGACCUAUCACAUCUACAAAAUAAAGGCACCAAUCUUUCCAUUAACAAAACACUAUUUGCUCAAAUUUUUCUCCAAAAAAUGACAUUUUUUUUCAAAGUUUCAUCCAUGUUGAAAUUAGAUUUUUUUAACUUUUUUAAAAAUAAAAAUAUAAAAGACUGUGUUAAUAAAUAGUUAGAACCUAAAAAUUGAAGUUCCUGAAAAAAAAUAUAGGUUAGUACNNNNNNNNNNNNNNNNNNNNNNNNNNNNNNNNNNNNNNNNNNNNNNNNNCAGGAAGGAAAUAAUAAAAAAUUAUUCCUUAAUAUAAUUUUUUAAUGAAACAAAUUUUAAAAAUAAGACAUGCUCCGUCACAAUAUAUUAUAUUAUAUUAUGUAAAAAUUUUCAAUCAAUUCAAAAGAUACAAAAUUAACAUUCACGACAAAAAUCCAAAAUAAAGUCAAACUCCUUUUCAUGGGUAAUAACUAAUUUUUACGGUUAGACUCUAUAAACUCUUGGGGUGUAUAUUUAGUUAUUAAAAGAUAAAAAGAGAAUCAAAUUUCACUUAAAUAAAUUUCACAAAAAUUAUACGAAUCUAUAAUACUUGAAACUUGAGAGGAAUAGCAACAACCAUUACUUAAAUCCAUAUCUGUCCACUAUAUACUCAUAAUAAAAAAGACAGCAAAUGGUGCAAAAUAAUAUAUAGGAUUAAAAAAUUAGACCUCAAAGAAUUAAACAACACAUGCAUUAUAGAUUAAUCUAACAAUGUAUUUAUCAACUAAAUAACCAUCUUCUUUAGACUCUGCAUGAAUUUUUUUGAACGGAACAAAAUUGAAUACAUUCGAUGGAAUUGAAGAAUCUUGUAUCGGACGCACAAUCGUGUCCCUCUUGAAGUGGAUUCUAAAUUUGUGUCUAGUAGACUUAAACUUAAUGGUAUUCAAAGCAACUUCAAAAUUAGUGACCAUGUACAUGUUGCCCUCAGCGAGUAGGCCCUCGAAGAUAGGAACAAAUAUGUCUUUAGCAGUACAUUGAAUUGUAUCCCCCUGAAUGCAUUAAUUUUAUAGAGUCAUAGAUAAAUAAGGUUUAUUGUUCAGUCAUUACCAAAAUAAAUCUCAAAUGCAAAGAGAAUAUUUUACCUCUUCAUCAAGGACAACCAUCUCAAUAGGUAUCUUCAUCCCAGAUUUUACAAAGAAACGGUCCAAAGUCUAAUGACACGUACUUUUAGCUUCCACACCUUAUGUGCGACCAGAAUUGAUACACUUGAUGAGAUCAUACCUAAUAAUAAAGGACCUCAUAUUUAGUGAAAGAUAAAAAAAAUAUUGUGAAACAAUUCACAUGGCACAUGAAAACUCACCUAGCUGCCAUUGCUACCUGCCACUACAAAAUUACUCAAAUAUUAUGAAUUUCAGUAUAGAUAAAGAGUAAGUGUGGUGAUCACCUAUGCUAUACUUAUAGAGAGUCACAGCAUUGCUCAGCCCCAGUAUUGGUAAAGAUUGCAAGAAUCUUUACAUUUCUAUCAAAAUCCAACUAAAAAAAAAAGAAAAAUUUUUUAUAUAUAGCACCAGUUUUUUGUUUCUUAAUCUGAUAUAAUUCCCAAAAGAUUUGUUAACAGUACCUUUAAUAUGACCAAAGAUUGUGUUGAUCUCAGCAAGCCAUUUGUCUCUUUCACCCUGCAUCCGUUCUAUAAGCAUUUUUCUUUUAUGAUCCUCAGUUAAUUGCUUCAUGUGCUUGACCUUCAGCCUAUAAUAGUAGAUAAUUCUAUCUCAACACGAUCUCUCUCAAUCUGACGCUGCGGUGGUUGCGAACUUGCGAUUUGGGGAGCUAGGGUUCUUCUUUCAAUAUCAAAAUUUCACGUCAAUUUCAGAGAGGAGAAGCGAGGAGUGUGGAAGUGGGACUGGGUUACAGGUUACAGGCUUAAGCCGUUGGAGAUUCAGUUUUUUUUUUAAGUCAAAACGGCACCGUUUGGAGGAGUUAUUAACAAACCAAAAAUUUAAAAAAAAAACNNNNNNNNNNNNNNNNNNNNNNNNNNNNNNNNNNNNUAUAAUAUCUAUAAAAUAAUUUCAACUUCAUUUUAUAAACUAAUUUUAAUUUUAAAUUUAUUUAUUUAUUUUUUGAAAAUAUCUACAUGUAAAUGGUCUCUCUGUAGACAUGAUACAUAACAGAGCACAAUAGCAUCGUUUGAUUCAUGUAGCCGACCCCACUUAAUAGGACAAGACUUUGUUGUUGUUGUUGUUGUAAUUCAUUUUUUGAAAAUAUUAAAUGAUAUUCUAUAAACAUCGAAUUGGAGAUGCUCUUACUGGUAUGUGAUCUGUGAUCCAUUAAUUAUAUAUAUAGGUCACAAGGAUAUAAUUCUAGUGUGAUGGUUCUACAUAGAUAUUCCAAGUGACGAUGUUUUCUUACUAAUAGUUUACGCCUUUCUAUAGGGCAUAGGCUACUGCUUUGUGUGCGUACAAGAUAAUAAGAAAAUAAAGAGUUAACAAUGUUUGAAUAUGUAUAGUAAUUUAUCAACUCGGUAAAAGUGUUGCAAUUUGCAGAACACUCCUUAAAAAAUUCUCAUGGUUCAAUAUUAUAUUCAUCUUACAUCUAUCUUUAGUUAUCUCAAUAAAUUCCUGUGCUAUUUUUUUUUCUUUUUUCUUUUUGGAUAAAGUAUGUUUUUUAUUGUUAACGUUUGUAAUUUUUAAAAAAAAUAUUUUUAACAUUUAGUUUCAAUUAAUUUUGUUUCUAACUUUAUUAGUAUCAAAAUUAUCCUUAAACACUAAUUUCAUAUAAAAUAUUAGAGACAAAAUUAAAUAAAUUAAAAACGUUAAAAACAAAAUUGAAUAAAAUUAACCAUUAAAAAUAUUUUUAAAAAAAUGUUAAAGGAGAAAAACUAUAAUUUUUAAGACAAAUCACAUGGUAGGAGAAAUUAGAGAGAGAUCAUAGGAUGAGAAGAUAUCACAUCUAACUCUUAAAAUCUUAAAGUAAGAUAUUACUGAGUCUCUCAUCUUAUAAACUCCUCACUCUUUCUUGUUUUCUUUGAUAUAGGACUAACUUCAACACUCUUCACACUUGCAACAUUAACAUAAAUUAAUAGUAAUAUUGUUAUCAUAAUCUGAGGAAAUCUUUUGGGUUUAGGACCCAUGGUUGCUUGCUUUCUUUCAAUUCCAAAUAAUUAGUAUAGUAUUGUAUUGCAUUUUGGCAGGUAUGCAUAUAUUAAUGGAAGAACCGCAUGGUUUAACUGUCUCUAACGUGCUUAAAUGCAGGAUUUUGUUAGCUAGCAUUUUUAGUUUAUAAUGUGUCGCACAUUGGAAGGAGUUGCUAACUUAGAAAUUUGAUGACGGCUCCACUGGUGAGUCAACUAAAAAUUUUGAUUGUACACGUUUGAAGAAGGGAAUUAAAAAUGGAAGAAUUGAAGCAACAAAGUUUGAAGCAAUCACGGCUUUGUAGUCAUUUUCCUCAUGUUCCGUGAAAGGCAUGCAUGAGACACAAAAUUACAAGACUAAAUAUCACUUCAUUACUAAUGCCCAAAAAUAUUUCACCAUAAAAUGUUCAGGGCCCUGUUAUACUUGCCUUGAUGAAAUAUUAAUUCUCCUAAAAAACGACAAUAACUGUUUUUUUCCUAGUUGAGUAUACUCAAUUAACACAAAUGCACAUUGGAGUUACUUAUUGACUUUAAACACCACAAAUACACAUUUGACUUUCCGGAGUGUCAAAAUAAAAGCAUUUAAUAUAUACUUCUGAGAAUUAUUAAAUUGAAUUACUAUAUGAUGAUUUAAUUAAUUUUAUCAUACUUUAUAACUAUAAGGAUUCCCUGCAUUGACCAAUGAGUAAUAGCUUAAAUGACAUAAUCUCUCCAUACUCAAUUAAGAGGUUGCGAGUUCGAGUCUCAUAUCUUUGGUAAAAAAAAAGGAUUCNNNNNNNNNNNNNNNNNNNNNNNNNNNNNNNNNNNNNNNNNNNNNNNNNNNNNNNNNNNNNNNNNNNNNNNNNNNNNNNNNNNNNNNNNNNNNNNNNNNNNNNNCUUGAUAAGUUAUUAGUUAUAAUGCAAUUAGUCAUUGAUUACUCAUGCAGAGAUGCUGACUUGCUCACGGCGAUGCUCAUGGUCCAUGCAAGGAGACUAAAUGGAGGUGGAUGCUGCACCAUAUUUGGGUGCGGGUUCGGGUUCGGGUUCUUCUCAUCUGUGUUUUUAACCUUUUUUUAUUAUUUUUUUAAAUAAAAGAAGAAAAAAAGAAAAAGCAUAUGAUCCAUGCUCACUACAGAAGAAAUUUUCCGCAGCUGGUGUGGGAAAACACAUGUCACUCAACUCUCCCCCAAAAUUUCACAUCCAUAACGAGUUUCUCAUCACAAGACUAACACACGAUUCAUCUGGUCUCUGUAUUAAUGACUUGUAUCGUAAUCGUAAUCUUCCUAUAUAUACACAUAGCUUAGCAAGAAAGCCUAAAAAUCAGGUUUGGUUGCUUAAAUUAACCAAUGGAUAGCAAUAAUAUAGUUUGGAAGAGGAAGUAUGUGUUUGCAAUGAUGUUGAGCACAUUAUGCAUGACAUGCAGUUGUUGCAACGAGAGAGAUAAAGAAAUCCUGUUGAAGUUCAAAGGAGAAGUCACUGACUCAUCGGGACUCCUAUCUUCAUGGCAGCAGGAGCAAGAUUGCUGCCAGUGGAAGGGAGUCACCUGUCACAACAUCACUGCCAGAGUCAUACACCUCACUCUCGAGUGUGAUUAUUAUGAUCUUGCAGAAUCUGUAGUAGAUGAUGAUUAUUAUUUGCAGAAAUGCCUUACAGGUGACAUCAAUCUCUCUCUAUUGGAUAUGGAAUACUUACAAUAUUUGGAUUUGAGUUUCAAUGACUUUACAACUAUCUCAUCUGAUUCCACUGUCAACUCUUCAACUCUCAAUUACAUUGAUCUAUCAUACAACAAAUACCUUUCUAUCAAGAGUAUUGAGUGGCUCUCUCGCAUUUCCUCCUUAGAAUACAUAAACCUUGGUUACACUAAUCUUCACAGGGAAACUAACUGGCUUCACUGGAUGACGGCGCUCCCAUCAUUGGUGGAGCUCUACUUAGAGAGCUGUAAACUUGAAGACAUAAGUCCAUCACUUGAAUAUGCUAAUUUUAGCACAUCACUCCAGCUUAUUUCUCUUGCAGACAAUUCUUUUCACUCAGAGUUGCCUAAAUGGAUAUUCAAUCUCAGUUCUCAUGUCCUUCAGAUUGACCUUUCAAGAAAUUAUUUUAUAGGCCAGCUACCAAAUACGUUGCCCAAUCUUCAAUUCUUGGAUAUGCUCGCCUUGAAUGAUAACUAUUUAAGUGGCUCAAUUCCAGAUUGGAUAGGCCAACUUCAGUAUCUUGCCGGUCUUGCCAUUCAUGACAACUAUUUUUCUGGAUCUCUUCCUACAAAUUUGGGAAAUUUGUCAUCCCUAUACAUCUUCAUGGCCAAUCAAAACCUCUUCUCAGGGGUCGUGUCUGAAAGAAAUUUUGCAAAACUGAAAAAUUUGAAAUACUUGUUUUUGAAAUCACCAUACAUCACCUUUGAUUUUGAUCCCCUCUGGAUACCACCAUUCCAACUUGAGAAGCUGUACAUUGGACGACUGCACCCUACACUUCCUCAAUGGGUAUAUACACAGACAUCUCUCUAUUCUCUCAGCAUUGAAGACUCAGAGUUCUUGCUUGAAGCUGCUGACAAUAACAACAACUUUUGGAGAUUUACAUCCACAAUUCAGCAUCUGGAAUUGUACAACAACACAAUAGAAGGGGACUUGUCAGAAGGGUUGCUGAACUCCAGCAUCAUAGAGCUGACAUCAAAUAAUUUCAAAGGUGGUCUACCUCGACUUUCAUCCAAUGUUGUUUUCUUCCAGCUAAGCAACAGUUCUCUAUCAGGGUCCAUCUCUCAUCUCUUGUGCCACAGCAAGAAAAGCAACAAUAAAUUGCAGUACUUGGACCUUUCUGAUAAUAAUUUAUCUGGAGGACUAACAGACUGCUGGAUGAAUUGGAAGUCGCUGCGUCAUGUUAAUCUGGGAGGCAACAAUCUUAGUGGCAACAUACCCCCAUCAAUGGCCUUCUUGUCGAAUCUCACAUCACUGCAUCUGCAUGAAAAUAAUUUGUCUGGGGACAUAUCUUCUUCAUCACUUCAGUAUUGCCGCUCCCUGUCCAUCCUUAAUGUCCGCGAGAAUAGCUUCUCUGGAAACAUACCAAAGUGGAUGCCGCAGAGUAUAAGGAUUCUCCAGUUAAGGUCCAACAAAUUCAUUGGUAACAUUCCCUCACAGAUAUGUCAAAUGCCUUUCCUCAUUGUUUUGGAUAUUGCAUAUAACAGAAUCUCAGGUCAUAUACCCAAAUGCCUAAACAAUAUCACAUCCUUUGUUGACAUGCACUAUUCAACCAGUUGGAUUUUCUACGAAUUCUUUGAUGGAGGGGCUUUCUUUAUAUACAGAGACAACCUUAUAUUGCUUGUAAAAGGUCAACAAUCGGAUUAUUAUAAAAACCUGAAGCUGAUGCGCAUGGUUGAUCUUUCAAGUAAUAAUCUGACAGGAACAAUGUCUCCACAACUGUUCAGCCUCUCUCAGUUGCAUUUCUUGAACCUAUCCCAUAACAGGCUAACAGGAACCAUACCAAAAGAGAUUGGGAGCAUGACACAACUGGAGUCUCUUGAUUUAUCCAAAAAUGAACUCACAGGACAGAUUCCUGAGAGUAUAUCCAGUUUGUCUUUCCUCGAUAACUUGAACCUGUCAUUCAAUAACUUGAGAGGCCAAAUCCCAUCAGGGACCCAACUUCAGAG